rnacentral:rRNA from 1 species
UGAAUACGAGAUGCUACGGCGUCGAAGCAGUCUAUGUCAUACUUCCAAGAAAAGCUUGCACUGUCAUAAACAAAUAAUGCCUGUAUCAUAACCGACACAGGUGGGUAGGUAGAGUAUACUAAGGGGCGCGAGAUAACUCUCUCUAAGGAACUCGGCAAAAUGACUCCGUAACUUCGGGAGGAGGAGUGCCUUAUUUAUAAGGUUGCGAUAACAAGAUCCAAGCAACUGUUUACCAAAAACACAGGUCUCCGCUAAGUCGUAAGACGAUGUAUGGGGGCUGACGCCUGCCCAGUGCCAGAAGGUUAAAGAAGUUGGUUAGCAUCCGCGAAGCUGAUAACUGAAGCCCUGGUGAACGGCGGCCGUAACAAUAACGGUCCUAAGGUAGCGAAAUUCCUUGUCGGGUAAGUUCCGACCCGCACGAAAGGCGUAAUGAUUUGGAUACUGUCUCGGAGAGGGGCUCGGUGAAAUAGACUUGUCUGUGAAGAUGCGGACUACCUGCACCAGGACAGAAAGACCCUAUGAAGCUUUACUGUAACCUGAAAUUGAAAUUGGACUUUACUUGCGCAGUAUAGGUGGGAGGCGUUGAGAAUAUUCUUGCGGGAUUAUUGGAGCCAUCAGUGAGAUACCACUCUUGUAAUGUUAGAUUUCUAACUUUGUAUCAUUAUCUGGUCAAAGAACAGUUUCAGGCGGGCGGUUUUGACUGGGGCGGUCGCCUCCUAAACGGUAACGGAGGCGCACAAAGGUUUCCUCUGAACGGGUAGAAAUCGUAUCUAGAGUGUAAAGGCAUAAGGAAGCUUGACUGUGAGACCUACAAGUCGAGCAGGGACGAAAGUCGGUCUUAGUGAUCUGACGGUGCUGAGUGGAAAGGCCGUCACUCAACGGAUAAAAGUUACUCUAAGGAUAACAGGCUGAUCUCCCCCAAGAGUUCACAUCGACGGGGAGGUUUGGCACCUCGAUGUCGGCUCAUCGCAUCCUGGGGCGGUAGUACGUCCCAAGGGUUGGGCUGUUCGCCCAUGAAAGCGGUACGCGAGCUGGGUUCAGAACGUCGUGGGACAGUUCGGUCCAUAUCCGGUGUAGGCGUUAGAAUAUUGAGAGGAGCCUUCUUUAGUACGAGAGGACCGAGAAGGACAUACCUCUGGUGUACCAGUUAUCGUGCCAACGGUAAACGCUGGGUAGCUAUGUGUGGAGUGGAUAACCGCUGAAAGCAUCUAAGUGGGAAGCCCACCUCAAGAUAAGUAUUCUC